rnacentral:lncRNA from 1 species
AGUGCCCCGUCAGACUCCUGCCUUGUGGUCCUCUUUCCUGCAGGUUGACGACACCAAGAUCGACCUCAAAGAACAUCACUGUCCAGUGGGCAAAGCAAUAAAUGCCACUCAGAGUCCUAGCUGCACCAACAGAGUGAGCGGACAAGGUAAACUUGUUCUGAGACAGGACCGCCCAGUACAACCACGGGUAAUCACAGGGGGCUUCCUGGGGUUACGUUGCUGCAGCUAACUCAUUUUGAGGUGCUCACUGGACAGACGAUGAGGCCAAGGACACUCUGGGCAGAAAAGUC